GACCAGCCCUGCCACCAGCCCAGAAGUUCCACUGACAAGGACAUUUCCAAGCUCCACCUCUUUGCCUGUCACUUCAGCCUCAUCUGCUUCUUCCCUCUCCUCAACUCAGCUGGGAACAUCAUAUCCUGCCUUCACCCAUGAACAGUCAACAGUGCCACACAUCA
rnacentral:lncRNA from 1 species